rfam:Lysinibacillus manganicus DSM 26584 contig69, whole genome shotgun sequence.
AGAGCAGACGGCUCAUAACCGUCCGGUCGCAGGUUCGAGUCCUGCAAGGUCCA